rnacentral:misc_RNA from 1 species
GGGAGGUGAUUACACUGGAAUUUGAUGUACAUCCCCCUUCAACAUCAUCAGGGCAAAACAUCUUUUUAUCAACUUCACACAUUUCAUUCCCUUCAGAGAAUGCCAAGCAUGCAGAUGUACCACCAAACUUGUGACUGAUAAUUUCAGGAGAAAUUGAAUCCCGCCUCUGAGGACUAAUAGAACACCGUUUAUCUGGCAUAUCAUUUUUCACGUUCGCUUCAUCAGGAUCUCUUUUCCUUUUAAGGCCUCUCUCCCCAGAGCCAACGCGGGAAGCACCACCAUCUUCAUAGGAUGGUUUAUCAGACGGUUGCUGUGACGAGACCCUAGGAUGUCGAGGACGUCUAUAACCAUCUGGAAAAACAUAAGAAGGGAUCUGCUUCCUACGAACAUGAGAGACAUAAAUUUCCAUUCCAGGUUUCCAAAACAUAUACAUGUUUAUGGAAUGCCUAAAUUCAU